rnacentral:rRNA from 1 species
GAGGUGACGAGCGGCGGACGGGUGAGUAAUGUCUGGGAAACUGCCUGAUGGAGGGGGAUAACUACUGGAAACGGUAGCUAAUACCGCAUAAUGUCGCAAGACCAAAGUGGGGGACCUUCGGGCCUCAUGCCAUCAGAUGUGCCCAGAUGGGAUUAGCUAGUAGGUGGGGUAACGGCUCACCUAGGCGACGAUCCCUAGCUGGUCUGAGAGGAUGACCAGCCACACUGGAACUGAGACACGGUCCAGACUCCUACGGGAGGCAGCAGUGGGGAAUAUUGCACAAUGGGCGCAAGCCUGAUGCAGCCAUGCCGCGUGUAUGAAGAAGGCCUUCGGGUUGUAAAGUACUUUCAGCGGGGAGGAAGGCGAUAAGGUUAAUAACCUUGUCGAUUGACGUUACCCGCAGAAGAAGCACCGGCUAACUCCGUGCCAGCAGCCGCGGUAAUACGGAGGGUGCAAGCGUUAAUCGGAAUUACUGGGCGUCAAGCGCAGGCAGGCGGUCUGUCAAGUCGGAUGUGAAAUCCCCGGGCUCAACCUGGGAACUGCAUUCGAAACUGGCAGGCUAGAGUCUUGUAGAGGGGGGUAGAAUGCAGGUGUAGCAGUGAAAUGCGUAGAGAUCUGGAGGAAUACCGGUGGCGAAGGCGGCCCCCUGGACAAAGACUGACGCUCAGGUGCGAAAGCGUGGGGAGCAAACAGGAUUAGAUACCUGGUAGUGCACGCCGUAAACGAUGUCGAUUUGGAGGUUGUGCCCUUGAGGCGUGGCUUCCGGAGCUAACGCGUUAAAUCGACCGCCUGGGGAGUACGGCCGCAAGGUUAAAACUCAAAUGAAUUGACGGGGGCCCGCACAAGCGGUGGAGCAUGUGGUUUAAUUCGAUGCAACGCGAAGAACCUUACCUGGUCUUGACAUCCACAGAACUUAGCAGAGAUGCUUUGGUGCCUUCGGGAACUGUGAGACAGGUGCUGCAUGGCUGUCGUCAGCUCGUGUUGUGAAAUGUUGGGUUAAGUCCCGCAACGAGCGCAACCCUUAUCCUUUGUUGCCAGCGGUUCGGCCGGGAACUCAAAGGAGACUGCCAGUGAUAAACUGGAGGAAGGUGGGGAUGACGUCAAGUCAUCAUGGCCCUUACGACCAGGGCUACACACGUGCUACAAUGGCAUAUACAAAGAGAAGCGACCUCGCGAGAGCAAGCGGACCUCAUAAAGUAUGUCGUAGUCCGGAUUGGAGUCUGCAACUCGACUCCAUGAAGUCGGAAUCGCUAGUAAUCGUAGAUCAGAAUGCUACGGUGAAUACGUUCCCGGGCCUUGUACACACCGCCCGUCACACCAUGGGAGUGGGAU